rnacentral:lncRNA from 1 species
GGAAGAGCUUCUCUUAAUGUCAUCCCGAUUAAGGCAGAAUAUUUUGAGUGAUCAGUUCCUACCCCCAAGAAAACAGCCCAGCUACAGAAUAACUUCAGUUUGGCCUCCGGUCACAACUGAGACUUCAGUGAUCCAGUGAUGCUGUGAUUCUCCAGGACAAGAAACAUCCUGGGAGAACAAACACCUGCUCAGUUCCUCAUUGUUCUUGGACUGAUUAACAUCUUGUUUGCCAGAGAUGUACUGAACUCUCUGCAAGCCUUCCGUUACACCUUGUUUAUCCCAAUGUGAACUAUUGAACUCUCUGCAAGUCAUCUGUUACAUUUGUUUCUCCCGAUGUACUGAAUAAAAGGUGCGGUAAACAGAAUAACUCCAGUUUGGCCUCCGGUCACAACUGAGACUUCAGUGAUCCAGUGAUGCUGUGAUUCUCCAGGACAAGAAACAUCCUGGGAGAACAAACAUCUGCUCAGUUCCUCAUUGUUCUUGGACUGAUUAACAUCUUGUUUGCCGGAGAUGUACUGAACUCUCUGCAAGCCUUCCGUUACACCUUGUUUAUCCCAAUGUGAACUAUUGAACUCUCUGCAAGUCAUCUGUUACAUUUGUUUCUCCCGAUGUACUGAAUAAAAGGUGUGGUAAGCUGGGGGCUUUUGUCUUUGCUGCCCAGAGCAGCACUGAUCAGACCCAAAGCUCAGCUUCUUCUCGGUCUUAUUUUUCUACCUUUCCUGUAAUUCGCCGUGUGCUGCCGUGGCUCGCAGGAGACCAGGACUAACUGCAGAGGUUCUGGUAACGUCCCCUUCCCCUGUCCCCUACAAUAUAUAUUACAUAUCAAUAUGUUCCUCUAGAGAAUCCUAACCAAUAUAGAUAUGGAGGACUGCAGAGGGUUCAAGUUUGGAAGUGAUCAGGAAUUCCAGUUUGGAUAUGUCAAGUUUAAGAUGGAUAUUUGUUUCUGAGAGAGAGGAUUCUUAG